CGCCCGGUGUCCGGUUCGCCGUCGUGACGUCACUCGCUGGACCGUCGGGGCGGGGGGCGCGCGCAAACACCGCGGCCAGCGGAGACUUUUUCCUCUUGAUUUUUCCUUUUCUUCUCCCUAAAAACACCCUCAUCGGCCCCAAAACACGCCGAGCGAGCCUCCCGGCGGCCGAGGAGCUCCGUCACCGACAGCAUCGCGGGCGAUCGGGCGCGCGGCCUCCACCGGAAAGUUUGUCUCCGCGGCUAACGGACUUCACGAGAGAGGGAUCCGGCACUCACCCGCGCGGAUAACGGAGAAAUAACGUCAAAUACCGUCAAAGUCUGCGUGUAAAUAUAAAUAGAGUGAAAGUCGGAGAGCCGCAGCGCCCCCGCCCGAGUCCUCCGGUAAACUCACGGUAAACUCACGGUAAACACACGGUAAACUCACGGUAAACACACCGGAGGAUCGGCACUCGGUGAAGGAUGGCCGCCUCAGUGAAGGUAGCGGUGAGAGUUCGGCCCUUUAACUCCCGCGAAACCAGCCGAGAUGCUAAAUGUGUCAUUCAGAUGCAGGGAAGCUCCACCUGCAUCUGGAACCCCAAACAGCCCAAAGAAGCAGCCAAGAACUUCAGCUUUGAUUAUUCGUACUGGUCUCACAGCUCGGUAAGAUCCUGCGCUACUGUUCACUGCUGCUGUCUGAGCUCCU